GAUGAACGCUAGCUACAGGCUUAACACAUGCAAGUCGAGGGGUAACGAGAGGGAAGCUUGCUUUCCUUGUCGACGACCGGCGCACGGGUGAGUAACGCGUAUCCAACCUGCCCCCAACUAGGGAAUAACCUUGCGAAAGUAAGACUAAUACCCUAUAAUUUCCUCAGAUGUCAUCUGACGAGGAAUAAAGAUUUAUCGGUUGUGGAUGGGGAUGCGUCUGAUUAGCUUGUUGGCGGGGUAACGGCCCACCAAGGCAACGAUCAGUAGGGGUUCUGGGAGGAAGGUCCCCCACAUUGGAACUCGGACACGGUCCAAACUCCUACGGGAGGAAGCAGUGAGGAAUAUUGGUCAAUGGGCGGAAGCCUGAACCAGCCAAGUAGCGUGCAGGAUGACGGCCCUAUGGGUUGUAAACUGCUUUUAUACAGGAAUAAAGUUAGCCACGUGUGGUUAUUUGUAGGUACUGUAUGAAUAAGGACCGGCUAAUUCCGUGCCAGCAGCCGCGGUAA
rnacentral:rRNA from 1 species